rnacentral:pre_miRNA from 1 species
AAUAAGUGUAGCCAUAAGUUUCUGUGUCCAACUUUGAUUGUCCGUUUUAUUUGAAAUUUUUUUAUAAUUAGUAUUUUUGUUGUUAUGAGAUGAUAAAACAUGAAUAGUACUUUAUUCGUGGCUUAUGUUUUUAAUUUUUUAAAAAGUUUUCAAAUAAGACGAACGGUCAAAGUUAGACGCGAAAAACCAUAACUGCACUUAUU